rnacentral:rRNA from 1 species
AACGUAGGUGGCGAGCGUUAUCCGGAUUUACUGGGCGUAAAGCGUGUGCAGGCGGGAUGGUAAGUGGUGUAUGAAAUCUCCGAGCUUAACUUGGAGGGGUUAUGCCAGACUGCCAUUCUAGAGUGCGAGAGAGGAAUGUGGAAUUCCGGGUGUAGUGGUGAAAUGUGUUGAUAUCGGAAGGAACGCCGGUGGCGAAAGCGAUCUGCUGGACCUCUUCUGACGCUGAGGCGCGAAAGCCAGGGGAGCAAACGGG